rnacentral:ncRNA from 1 species
AAAGAAAAAGCGCCGGGACUCCGGAUUGCCCGCGAGGGCUUUCGGAGUUGACGAGGAGAAAAAUCAUCGAAAGAUUCGGCGGAUAUUUUUCCGGCGCGGAAGCAGCCGCGUCGUGGGACGGACUACAAAGCCCGGAGGCGACUCCGGAACAAAGCGUCCGUC